rnacentral:rRNA from 15 species
GAGAGAACUCGGGUGAAGGAACUCGGCAAAAUUGUACCGUAACUUCGGGAGAAGGUACGCCUCUGUUUGUGAACACUUCGCGUGGUAAGCAAAUGGAGGCCGCAGUGACCAGGUGGCUGGGACUGUUUAUUAAAAACACAGCACUCUGCAAACUCGUAAGAGGACGUAUAGGGUGUGACACCUGCCCGGUGCCGGAAGGUUAA